GAUGAAUGCUGGCGGCGUGCCUAAUACAUGCAAGUCGAGCGAACGGACGAGAAGCUUGCUUCUCUGAUGUUAGCGGCGGACGGGUGAGUAACACGUGGAUAACCUACCUAUAAGACUGGGAUAACUUCGGGAAACCGGAGCUAAUACCGGAUAAUAUUUUGAACCGCAUGGUUCAAAAGUGAAAGACGGUCUUGCUGUCACUUAUAGAUGGAUCCGCGCUGCAUUAGCUAGUUGGUAAGGUAACGGCUUACCAAGGCAACGAUGCAUAGCCGACCUGAGAGGGUGAUCGGCCACACUGGAACUGAGACACGGUCCAGACUCCUACGGGAGGCAGCAGUAGGGAAUCUUCCGCAAUGGGCGAAAGCCUGACGGAGCAACGCCGCGUGAGUGAUGAAGGUCUUCGGAUCGUAAAACUCUGUUAUUAGGGAAGAACAUAUGUGUAAGUAACUGUGCACAUCUUGACGGUACCUAAUCAGAAAGCCACGGCUAACUACGUGCCAGCAGCCGCGGUAAUACGUAGGUGGCAAGCGUUAUCCGGAAUUAUUGGGCGUAAAGCGCGCGUAGGCGGUUUUUUAAGUCUGAUGUGAAAGCCCACGGCUCAACCGUGGAGGGUCAUUGGAAACUGGAAAACUUGAGUGCAGAAGAGGAAAGUGGAAUUCCAUGUGUAGCGGUGAAAUGCGCAGAGAUAUGGAGGAACACCAGUGGCGAAGGCGACUUUCUGGUCUGUAACUGACGCUGAUGUGCGAAAGCGUGGGGAUCAAACAGGAUUAGAUACCCUGGUAGUCCACGCCGUAAACGAUGAGUGCUAAGUGUUAGGGGGUUUCCGCCCCUUAGUGCUGCAGCUAACGCAUUAAGCACUCCGCCUGGGGAGUACGACCGCAAGGUUGAAACUCAAAGGAAUUGACGGGGACCCGCACAAGCGGUGGAGCAUGUGGUUUAAUUCGAAGCAACGCGAAGAACCUUACCAAAUCUUGACAUCCUUUGACAACUCUAGAGAUAGAGCCUUCCCCUUCGGGGGACAAAGUGACAGGUGGUGCAUGGUUGUCGUCAGCUCGUGUCGUGAGAUGUUGGGUUAAGUCCCGCAACGAGCGCAACCCUUAAGCUUAGUUGCCAUCAUUAAGUUGGGCACUCUAAGUUGACUGCCGGUGACAAACCGGAGGAAGGUGGGGAUGACGUCAAAUCAUCAUGCCCCUUAUGAUUUGGGCUACACACGUGCUACAAUGGACAAUACAAAGGGCAGCGAAACCGCGAGGUCAAGCAAAUCCCAUAAAGUUGUUCUCAGUUCGGAUUGUAGUCUGCAACUCGACUACAUGAAGCUGGAAUCGCUAGUAAUCGUAGAUCAGCAUGCUACGGUGAAUACGUUCCCGGGUCU
rnacentral:rRNA from 1 species